CCCUUAGAUGUCCUGGGCUGCACGCGCGCUACACUGAUGUGUCCAGUAAGCACCUAACCUCUUCCGAAAGGAACGGGUAACCUUUGCAAAGCACAUCGUGAUGGGGAUAGAUUAUUGCAAUUAUUAGUCUUGAACGAGGAAUUCCUAGUAAGCACAAGUCAUCAGCUUGUGUUGAUUACGUCCCUGCCCUUGUACACACCGCCCGUCGCUCCUACCGAUUGAAUGUUCCGGUGAGCUCUUCGGACUGCGCGGUCUGCAGUUUCUGCGUUCCGUGCGGAAAGUUGCGCAAACCUUAACAUUUAGAGGAAGGAGAAGUCGUAACA
rnacentral:rRNA from 1 species